rnacentral:lncRNA from 1 species
CUUAGAAGAAGAGGAGAUGAGGACUCAGACACACACGCAGAGGGAGGACCAUGCGAGGACACAGGAAGGAGGCGGCCGCCCGCCAGCCAAGGAGAGAGACCUCAGGGGGAACCAGCCCGCCUCACUCACACCUGGAUCUUAGACUUCCAGCCUCUGGACUGUGAGAGAAUAAAUUUCUGUUGUCAAAGCCGCCCCGUCUGCAAUAUUUUGUUACCAAGUCUGAGCACCUGACACAAGGAUAAGCUGUGUCCUGGAGGGAACUCGGGCCCCCGGUGAGACAGCCCUGCCUGGAUGUCCGGAGGUUGUGCCCAGUGGCCCUCUGUCUUCCUCUGAUUUGAGAAGUGCUUGAGAGUGACUGAAAAAUGACAGAGCCAGGCCUCAGUUGGUCACCAGAGUCUUCGGGGCCCUGAGACCUCCACCCCCGUGAGGUUUUAUGGAGCCCAGGUUGGGAGCAGCUCUUUCAUUAAGGAUGGUCCAAAGCCACCGAGGAGGUUGUCUCAUCAUGGCAGGGCUGGCUUCAUCCUGCUUCCUGCCCCCCCCAGACAGGUGGCUGAGGUGCAGCAGGACGUCGCACGGUUCCUGCGUGCGGCAAGGAGGCUGCUGGAAAGGUGGGCUCCCAGCUUGCUCCCCAGAACCUCGCCAUGUCAGGACCCUCACCUCUCUGCUGGGUGGGCCGUGGCCCAGCUGAGCUGCACGGGUCCCAGGCCCGAGCCAGCCCUUCUCAGCAUUUGCUACUGAACAUCGAGAACAUUCUGGGUGGGGCUCCAGAGAACAGAAGCCUCUCCAAGACCCCGAAGUCAGAGCCCACGCAGACCGAACUCACUGGGCUGGAAACCUCGGUGGUCACAUGGGAGGCCUGGGGCCGAGGCCGGUCAGCUCCAGGCCACUGGCUCCUGGCUGCCCCCGUGAGCCAGUCGGAGGGGCUGCUGUCCCGGCAUGCUGGGCUCCCGUGUCAGGGCAGCAGAGCCCCACCGGGUGCUGGCGGCAUUAAGUCAUUAAUCCCCACACCUUCCUUGUGAGGGCAACAGCGGAGUAAGAGGAGAGGAGACAAAGUGGCCCGAAAGGUUCUUGGGAGUGAAAAACCCAACCCCAACAGACACACAGAGGAAGCCUCCUCACCCUCACCUGACGCCCCGUCUAGCUGCUUUCGCUCGCCUCUCAUCUUCCACCUUCCCAGCAGCCCUGUGAGUGAACAGGAAAGCUGCCUUGUCCCAUUUUACUAAACUGAGCUCGAAUAACUCACUGAAGGUCACGUGGAGAGUGAAUGAAGGACUCAGGGGAAAGAAAUCCAGAUUUUCUGAAUCCACAUCAGAUGUUCUUCCAUCCUGCGUGUGCUGGACGGUGAAAAUAGCACCUUUCUCGUAAGUUCUGUAAUCAGGAGCCUUAAAACGCUUCCUCCACGUGUGGCUGUGAGAUCUCAUUCUCCCAGGGUGGCUGAGUGGCGCUAUCCUUCUGGUCCUGCUGGUUUCUCACAGGCUCACUCAAGGCUGUCUCCACUGGGAACCAAGGGAAAUUAGUGGGUGAAUCU